UACGAAGGGGGCUAGCGUUGUUCGGAUUUACUGGGCGUAAAGCGCACGUAGGCGGAUCGAUCAGUCAGGGGUGAAAUCCCAGAGCUCAACUCUGGAACUGCCUUUGAUACUGUCGAUCUGGAGUAUGGAAGAGGUGAGUGGAAUUCCGAGUGUAGAGGUGAAAUUCGUAGAUAUUCGGAGGAACACCAGUGGCGAAGGCGGCAUGCACUGGUCCAUUACUGACGUGAGGUGCGAAAGCGUGGGGGAGCAAACAGG
rnacentral:rRNA from 1 species